GUAGGUGGCAAGCGUUGUCGGAAUUAUUGGGCGUAAAGCGCGCGCAGGCGGUUCUUUAAGUCUGAUGUGAAACGCCCACGGGCUCAACCGUGGAGGGUCAUUGGAAACUGGAGAGCUUGAGUACAGAAGAGGAAAGCGGAAUUCCACGUGUAGCGGUGAAAUGCGUAGAGAUGUGGAGGGACACAAGUGGCGAAGGCGGCUUUCUGGUCUGUAACUGACGCUGAGGCGCGAAAGCGUGGGGAGCAAACAGGAUUAGAUACCCUGGUAGUCCACGCCGUAAACGAUGAGUGCUAAGUGUUAGGGGGUUUCCGCCCCUUAGUGCUGCAGCUAACGCAUUAAGCACUCCGCCUGGGGAGUACGGCCGCAAAGGCUG
rnacentral:rRNA from 1 species